rfam:Streptomyces chattanoogensis strain NRRL ISP-5002 ISP5002contig20.1, whole genome shotgun sequence.
UUACCCUGGCGCUGCAGCUGGUUCACCCCGUCAGCCAGACGGGCGUGUCGUAAGAGGGAACCCGGUGGGAAUCCGGGACUGCCCCGCAGCGGUGAGCGGGAACGACCGCCGUCAUACGCACUGGGCCCACGCUCGAGCCCGGGAAGCGACGGCCAGUAGAUGCCUCGCACGUACGACUCGUUCGUACGCGAGGCGUGCCCGCGAGUCCGAAGACCUGCCGCUGCCCGUACGCCACG